CACCCAGCCUCCUGCCCACCCCCUGGCGUCGGCACCGCGGGCUGUCCGGGGGCUGCCCCUGCCUGCGCCCCCCUCGCCGGCCAGGUUCUGGAAGGACCCAGCAGCUGCUGCUGGCAUCAGCCCAUGGCCCGGAGGUACGAUGAGCUGCCCCACUACCCAGGCAUCGUGGACGGCACCACAGCCCUGGCUGGCUUUGCCGAGGCAGUGCCCUCAGCAACAAGAGCCCCUGGGCCCUACGGCCCACACCGGCCACCCCAGCCCCUGCCCCCGGGCUUGGACAGUGACGGCCUGAAGAGGGAGAAGGAUGAGAUCUAUGGACACCCGCUCUUCCCCCUCCUGGCACUGGUCUUUGAGAAGUGUGAAUUGGCCACAUGCUCCCCUCGAGAUGGGGCCGGGGCUGGGCUGGGCACACCCCUGGGGGGCGAUGUCUGCUCCUCCGAUUCCUUCAAUGAGGACAUCGCUGCCUUUGCUAAGCAGGUCCGCUCCGAGAGGCCUCUCUUCUCCUCCAACCCAGAGCUGGACAAUCUGAUGAUCCAGGCCAUCCAGGUGCUGCGGUUCCACCUGCUGGAGCUGGAGAAGGUCCACGACCUGUGCGACAACUUCUGUCACCGCUACAUCACCUGCCUCAAGGGAAAGAUGCCCAUCGACCUGGUCAUCGAGGAUCGGGAUGGCGGCUGCAGGGAGGAUCUUGAGGACUACCCAGCCUCUUGUCCCAGCCUCCCAGACCAGAUUAAUACAUGGAUUCGAGACCAUGAGGAUAGUGGGUCUGUACAUUUAGGGACCCCGGGUCCAUCCAGUGGGGGCCUGGCUUCCCAGAGUGGGGACAACUCCAGUGACCAAGGAGAUGGGCUUGACACAAAUGUGGCCUCUCCCAGUUCUGGGGGAGAGGACGAGGAAUUGGACCAGGAACGACGGCGGAACAAGAAGAGAGGGAUCUUCCCCAAGGUGGCCACCAACAUCAUGAGAGCCUGGUUGUUCCAGCAUCUCUCGCACCCCUACCCGUCCGAGGAGCAGAAGAAACAGCUUGCACAGGACACGGGGCUCACCAUCUUGCAAGUCAACAACUGGUUCAUUAACGCCCGGAGACGUAUCGUGCAACCGAUGAUCGAUCAAUCCAACCGCACAGGGCAGGGUGCAGCCUUCAGCCCAGAUGGCCAGCCCCUGGCGGGCUACACGGAGACCCAGGCACACACUACUGCUCGGCCGCCGGGAUCUGUGGGGAUGAAUUUGAACUUAGAAGGAGAGUGGCAUUAUCUAUAGAGGCUGGAUUCAGGAGAAGUGUGAGUGCCCAAGGUCUAGGGGUUAAGCAACUGUCAAACCUUCAGAAGACCUCCGGACUCCAAUCGUAGGCCCGCCCAGAGCAGGAGCCCAGCCUCCAGACUGUGACCACCAGCCUCACACCUGCUCUGGGCCCCGCCUGGCCCUCUGGCUUCAGGACCCACCUCCAAAGGCCCCUUCACUCAACGCCUACCUCCCUGGGGCCCCACUGGGACAUGGGGCCUGAGUGCCCACUCGAGGGUCUCUCCAGGACACUGACAAGGCCUCUAGGCCCUGAGCUUCACUUCUGCCCUCAGCUCUGCCCAGGACCAAGCUGAGAUCCUGGGCCUUGGUCUCCAGAAGAUGGUGGCUGAGGGCCCCCCUUCAGGACAGAGAAGAGACCGCAAAUGGGUUAGGUGGUCAGGGAAGAGUGGUUGCCUGAACCCAACAUUUUGGGGAGAUUUGUUCAACCUCCCACCCAUCCCCUUCUGCUUCCCCACCUCUCUUCUCUGAUGUUUUCCUUUUUUUUUUUUUAAUGAUAAAGUCUUAAAAACACAAAGCUGCCAGUUGGAGUUCUUUUGUGUCUUCUGAGAUUUCAGAUUCUCCAUUUGGAGUUCCUGGACCACCAAUAAUAAUGUCACUUUUUUAUUCUUCCUGGACACCCCUCUUGGGUAACAGUUAGCUAUGCUGGGGAACAAACUGGCCCAAAAUUUUGUGACUCCAAACACCAACUAUUGUGAAGCACAUUAUUUUAUGGGUUGGUAUUUUAUACCUAGGUCUGCGGGACUACUCUUGGGGUGUGGACAGGGCCCUGUGGAUCAGCUAUUGGGUGGCUAGGGCCUGCCCCUGGGAGCUGGCUGGCUACAGAAGCAAAGGAGUGGAGGACAACAAGGUUCAUGGACCAGGAAGCCAUCCGGUUGGUUGACAGGAAGGCUUUGUGGGAUCCCAAGACGGAUCAAACCUGGCCUGUCGUUACCUCAGCUGCCUUCUUUUGGCCACCUGAAGUCCAGAUUCAAGGUCAGAGAAAAAGACUCCACCACUUGUGGCCUGGGGGUGAGGAGUCACAUCUCCCCAAGUCACAUUGCAAGAGAUGUGGGUACAGGGAGGAAUGAAGAACUGUGGCCAAUUUUGCAUCAACCAACCACACUGGGUUUCCUCUGCUGUCCGACAGGAAGUGAGCAGGCUGGCCUGAAGGCACUUGAGAGGGGUGCUCACAACAGAUAUGGGUUCAAAUCCCAUCUGUGGAACACAGUUGCCAGGGCACAUUAGGUAAGUGAUUUCAUCUGUCUGGGCCUCAGUUUACACAUCUGGGAAACAGGGAUAACAGCAGUGCUACCUGGUGUAGGACUGUUGUGCCAGGCUGCAGAUAUCACAAGGGACACACUGAAAAUGGUGCUUUGUGUGUAGUAAGCAUUCACACAAAUGCAGAGGUUAUCCUCUGACAUUAGAGAAACUGAGGCUUAGAAACUGGCCAGAGUCCACUGGGGCUCCCAGCCUUCUAGGCUGCUCUCCUCCUGCCCUGAGAGAGAGAGCACGAAAGUGGGGUUGAGGCAUCUCCCUCUGCUCCUGUCUCUCCCUCUGUUUCUAGGUCUUUCUUUUUCAGUCUGUACCUCUCUCUGUCCCCCCAGCCCACAUCCGCAGAGUCCCCCGCUCCUUUCCUGUGUUCAGAUGGAGUCUCUCCCUUAGAGCAGGAGCCUGCAUCCUGUCUCUGUGUUCAAAGACCCCGGCACAUGGUGUGCCACACUGAGCAUUGGCGAUACCAUGAAAAAUGUGUUCCCAGACACCUCGAGUCCCUUUUGGUGGGCCCCAGGUGGAUAGAUUCACACAGAGCCACACACAAACACGAUGGGUGCAAAGAUACACAGAGCACACAGCAGCUAUGCCACACUCAAACACAGUGACCCAGGCAGUUCUUGAAACGCAGAGCUGUGCUGGGAAACAGGCAUGUGUGACUGACAAGAGUCCUGCUGGCCGAAACAAGGAUGCCCAGCCCCCACACCCAGGGGUCCCACCUUUUAAGACUCCCACUCAGAGAUUUUAUUCAUCCCUUUGUCUGUUCAGUGUGUAUUUCAUGUCCCCUUCUGGGCCUAGACUCCAGGACAAGCUGCUCAGCCCCACAGAGGCCAUAGCCCAGACCUGGUGGGCUCAGAUCCGACAUCCCUCCACUGAGCAUCAAACACUGCAGAUUGCUGUUAUGUUCCUGUGAAGACACCACUACAGAUUCUAAGUAUCUUAGGUUUAGACACUCCCUUGUGGAAAGUACCCAGCUUGGUCCCCCUCCUGAGCCUCUAUCCCCUUUGCCUGGGGCACCUUGCCUGGUUCAUAGGUCACCUCUACAGAGAAGCAGGAAUGGCCGAACCAAAGCACCCACCCCAGUCACCAUACUCUUGUCCCCUUAAUCACCCUCCCUGCAAUUCUCUUGGUCACAUGUUCGGCUGUUUCAUCAAUGGUUUAAGUCUUGGCCCAGAACAGGGCAGAUGCUUAUCUUUCUCCAUCAACCCUGAAGCAGCAGCCAGUGCCCGGGAAACAGGUGGAGAGGAGACUCAAUCGUUCUGAGGCUCAAACUUUUACUUAUUCAUGUAACAGGUGUUUCCCAGGUCCACACUCUCUGCCUGUCCCUCUUCUGGGACAUCAGGGAGCAAGUCAAAGAGCCCUGCCUUGGGGAGCCUAUGCCUAGGCUCAGAGAUCAACAAUGACUCUAAUAAAUAAGUACACUAAUCUCAGAAGGUGACAAAUGUCACAGAAAGAGCAGGUGUAGGAUGGAAGUGUGGGCUGCCACUUUUAUGAAUUCACUGAACCCUUCAGUCAUUGCUGGCCCUUGGACCUUCAUCCCUGGGAACCUGUUAAAAUUCUCACAUAGUCUAGGAGGUAGGUAUCAUCUCUGUCCCUACUUCUGGAAACUGAGGCCCAGGGAGGGGAAGCCACUUACCUAAGGUCACACAGCUGGAGAGUGUGGAGCUCCAUUUGAACCCAGGCAGCCUGGCUCCAGGCCUUGUGAGCUAACCACUCUGCUUAUAGCCUCUUGUUUUAAAAAUAGGAUUCCGAAAGAGUCUUUGUUUUUUAAGAAAGCCUAACAUGAACUGGUUUCUGGGUGUGAUGUUGUUUUUGUGACUAUGAUGAGUGUUUCUUUCUCUCCACACUCUCCAGGACUGAAGUGAGAAGGAUAAAGGUCAGACUGCAGAAAGGACUUCUAUCCCUGCUCUUUUGAAGGCAGAAGAGGGGAGGAUUAAGGGUGAGGGGGUAGGGCCAGGCCAAGGCCUGAGGUCUGCUUCAGGGGGAGGCAGUUGAGUUCCAGCCCCUGCCUGGCACAGGGUAAGGGUCUUUGGGGCUGGAACAAUGAGGGGUGGGGGAGGAGCAGGUCCCCUCAUCCCCUCCCCCACCUCCCACAGACUGGAAAUGCCUCUCACUUAAUCCUUUCUAAUUCUCUAAUUAAACCAAUUGAAUGUGCCUUGGAAAAGAGGGAAAUUGGGCAGGAGGUUAAUUGUCACUGAAAAUACCUCCCCCACUUCCUGGCAGGAGGAACCAACACUGGGCUGGUUCCGGGGCAGCCUGCACAGUGGGUGGGCUUCACUAAGCAGAAGGGGCCCCCAGUCGUGGGGAACCCAGCUAGGUCUGUGGGGUAGGCAGGGCCCAGGCCUGGAAGUCGGUGUGUAGCUGCCAGUGUCUACUGGGGCUGUGGACUGGAAUGCAGUGGUGCGUGGAAGGAUGUCAGUGUGGCUGGAGCCACUGCCAGAGUGUCCCAUUACUGAAUGUGGGUGGCUGUGUCUCUGAGAACAGGCCGUCUGUCAUACCACACCUCAGUACAGGUGGCAUGUCUCCUGUGUGACUCUGAGUCUGUGACAUUGAGAGUCUGGAUAUCACUACAUAUGCCUGAUUGCGAUUGUGCCACAAAGCAGGCAUUCACCAUUGGGGCCACCCUGCAGGUGUCCACAGCAUUGUUGUGGCUCUGAGAUUGCUCUUCUCUGCUAAGCAGAGACUGACUGUGGGAGGUGAUGCCACUGAACCAGAAAUCUAAACCCAGUGGAGAUAGCUGGAUCCCAGGGUGGCUGGGCCAAGUGACCCAACUUAAUUGCCAAAACAAGGUGAGCGUGGUGCUGCAAGACAGCAGUGAAAAUGCAGCCAUCACAGUGGCCUGGAGACUACCAGGUGUUCCUAGGUAGGUAACAAUGGGCCAGCUACUGAGUUCUUUCUUGAUCUGUGUAUGUGGGAAAGUCCCACACCCAGCAAGCAAAAAAACCCUUUUGAUUCACAAAAACAGAGUCCUGGCCCUCAGUGUCCAGAUUUGAGCCAGUUUAUGGCCCAGAACCCCUCCAAGAAGGCACGCAGUAUACUACAGAAAAUUUAUACUAUUUGCCUUUCUCCUGGGCUUCCCCAAUGGGAUCCACCGCUGAUUAUCAGGGUGACUAUGCACCGGGUCUCUUUGGGGAACCGUUGGACACUGGCUUUGAGCUGACACAAGCCCCAGGGGACUAGAAAGGCAUUGUAACCCUAAGAGCAGAGCAGGGGGCUAUGGGCUCAUGGUCUAACUCACAGUGGGCCCAAAGAGUCUCUGAAGCCAUCCUGUGGUCAUUCUCCCAGUUCUGGAAGGCAUUGUGGGACAGACCUCUCAGCAGCUGAUGGAAUCCCCAUUACAGUGUCCUGUUGUGGUGGAGAUAGGGGAUGCUCCUGGGGGUCGCCUUGUGUGGCCCACCACUGAAGCUGGGCACCUGGUCAGCAGGUGUGGCCCUGGGAAUCUCCCUGUAUGUGUACAUGACAGUAUCUCUCCCUCUGCAUGGGGCACCCAGCUCUAAAUUCCCAGGAAGUUGGUCUCAGAUCCACCUGGGAGGAGACAUUCAAGGGGCCAUGG